UACGUAGGUGGCAAGCGUUGUCCGGAUUUACUGGGCGUAAAGAGCGCGCAGGCGGUCGUUCAAGUCGCGUGUGAAAGCCCCCGGCUCAACUGGGGAGGGUCACGCGAUACUGAUCGACUCGAAGGCAGGAGAGGGUAGUGGAAUUCCCGGUGUAGUGGUGAAAUGCGUAGAUAUUGGGAGGAACACCAGUGGCGAAGGCGGCUCACUGGACCGGUUCUGACGCUGAGGCGCGAAAGCGUGGGGAGCAAACGGG
rnacentral:rRNA from 1 species